rnacentral:lncRNA from 1 species
GUUGCUUCUGGAAUCAUCAGCUGAAGCGGCAGGAGGAAGGUGCCAGGGAGAACAGAGUGUCGUUGAGCCGUUCGGUUUUCACCUCGGACUUCCCAGCAGCUUUUGCAGAGUGGUGUCUAGAUUACGGAGCACACGGGUGCCGCAUUCCUGACAGACCCUAUUCGCUCUUUGAAGGCAUGGCUGGCGCUAUUCACUUUCUCUCUGAUGUCCUGGGACCAGAGACAUCACGGUUUCCAGCAUUUGAACUUGACUCUUCGAAGAGGGAUUAAAAGGUGCAAAAAGACAACUAAAAUACCCAUUUGGACCAAAAGCCACCAGAUUGCUUAGUGCCUGACACAGAAACAACUGGGAAUCCUGAAAGAGAAGCAGACACCGUCACAGGCCCCUCUGGUUAGACUAGCAUGAGUGACCGAAGCCAUCCAUCAACAUUUUCUAACAGCACCCUCAUCAAUAUAAAAUAUGACUUCUUCACAUACAGAUUCUCUGUAGUGUUUGCAUGUUUCUUGGUGUUUGUUGUCUCCAGGUGUAAGCUGUUUUAAAUGGAAGGCCCUUCUAUUCCUGAGGGCUCAGAGCUGACCAUGCAUGAAUGUAUGGCAGUGUCCACUUUUCUGUAUAAAAUGUAUAAAGUGGGGUUUCUUCCAUAUUGACAAAUGAGGGAACAGGUGGUGUCUAUCUUGUAUAUCAGAAAGAUUAUCUAGGGUCUAUCCUAGUGAUAAUACAUUGUCAGCCUUUUCUGUGGCACCUUCCAGAUGAGAAUGAGGGAGCGACCACUCCAAGGACGGACAGGACCAGCAGUUCUGCAGGGGCGUGCUGGGGUGGUUUGGGAGUGCACAGCUGAACGCUUCCCGUUUGGAUUUUACACUCACCUUCGUGUUUUAAAGAAGCCUCAGAGUGCAUUGCAGCUCUGUCAGGGCCCCAUUCCCAGCAGAGGCUUCAGGUGCUUUGUGUAGAGUCCAGGGCAGCUGGAGCUUUGUUGGGGAGACUUCUGGACCCAAAGGGAGCUUUCCCAAGAAGCCUUUGAUGGCCACACUGUAGGCAGCAGUGACUAAGCACUGGCAGUUCCAGAACAUUUACCCAGGUAUAUGUUACUAAAACAGGCUCCACCUCAGUUUAUCAACAUUAUAAGUUACUGUUCUAAGAAAAGUAAAUACAGUUCCAGAUGGGUUAUUGCAGAUUAACAGAAAGACACUCAACUGGACUCAUGUCCCUGCAAUUAAACUUACUUCAACCUUUUGGAAAGUUAUCAAAAUCUAAAUUUGGAAUGAAUGCAUUUCCUAUUUUUUGUCUACUUUUGGGUGAUAAAAAGUACUAGCCCUUAUUUAUAGAUAUGAGAAACAUAAUGUUCUAACCAACAACAUUAUGGUAUUUGUGUGACUUUUAUUUGAAAAAAUGUGAGCAGUAAUUUGGGUUAGCCUACCUUCAUUAAUUCUAUCACAUAGAUUUCAGUUUUUAGAAGGGUUUCUGUCAUCAUGGAAGAGGUGGUCUGGGACUAGGUACUUCUCGUCUUGUGAGCUAAGGCUUGUGUCAUGAAAGACAAGAGGCCUCUCUUAACAGCCCAGUCCUUGUCUGCAGGGGGAGGCCUGAGCAUUUCCCAGCCCCAGUGUCCACACCUCUCAGAAAAGAGAAAAAAGAAUGUCAGUUUAGGAGAAAAGCUUCCUUUUUACUUGUGUGGUUAUGUGUGGGGCUGGCACCCGAAAUGUGUGACAUUCAGCUUCUAAACGAUGCCUGGAGAGUCUGUUUGCUGCAGACACCCUUGCUCCUGAGUCAUUAUUUUCUUUCAUGUUAGAUUGAUGACUUCUGUGAAUAGAAAUCAUCCUGAUCCUAUUUUACCUGGCCUCCAGGGCCUGUUGAUGGGCUUUGCAGGCAGUCCAGCAGCCCACACCUGCAGGCAGGAUGCUGUCGUCAAUGAGCUGAGGGUAGCUGCUUUGCUGAAGACCUCACACGAUGUCCAAUCUCAUCCAAAUAACAUUGUUCCCAUCCUCCCCACCCACCACAUCAAAACAUAACACAUCACAGCACUCAGUAGAGGUCCUGCCUCCCCAUUUCUCAAGGGAAGCCAGUAGGCAACACAGCCAGCACGGUGCUCUCCAGGGCAGCCCCUCUCAGACGAGGAGGCAGCGGGUGCAGCCAGGUGUCUGCAGAGCAGCCACAAAGGUGGCCUAGGAUGCGGGUGUCUCCCCAGGUGAGUCCAUCCACACACGUUUGAAAAACACUAUUAGUCUUUCUAACACACUGAGGGAAAGAUUAAAAUCUGUGGAAUAAAGGAGGAGAUUUUAUUUACAGAUUUUUUUAAAAGCCACCUGGGUUGACACCUUCCUACUUAUCCACUAGAUGUCAUCAGAGGUGCUGUUCCGUGGUUCUGCAUUAACCCCUGCCUCAUGUCUGUAACAUGUGACAGUAAUUCCAGCUCGGUCCCUCCAGGCAAAGGAGAAACGGGACUUACUUCACAGGACAGAGGAUUGACAGAAGUCAGUUUAAGAUAAGUGUUUGAAUCAGAUUUCAGUACAUCUCAUUCAUUUCUUAGAUUUGUAUUCACAAUUGUGUUCUCUAAAAUGUGUCUAAAUUUUAAAAAUAUGUACAUGCAUAAUGUCAUUUUAAAAUCUGAAGGAAAGAAUUUGAAGUCCACAAAAAGUGUUUGAGGUUCUUUGGUUUUGUUAGUAAAAGCCAGUUCUGUGGUGAUGACCUAUGGAA